UGGAUGUUCUCUGAGGGUCUGCUGUUGGCGUUUUCUGAAUUGUUAUCGAGUCCAUUCAGUUCGGAGGAUCCAGGGCAACUUAGUAUAGAGCUCCUAGCUCCUACAGGGAAUUAUAAAGGUUUCUUUGGAAGAACAGCAGCUACGCUAGGCGUGCUGUAUCAACCUUUGGUCAACAGUACUGGAAGAUAAUUAAUGUUGUUCAUAUACAUACAUCCCACACGCUCCUCCAUUAGACAGCCCGUUGAGUAAUCACAUCAGCCAAAACGAGGGUGUAGUUAUUUGUUUUGUUGUUCACAAUUACAUCACUGAUAUAAUGAGAACUCGUGUUGUAUGCUGAAAACUUGCUUCAAGAACACCUGCAAUGUCUUUUGUAAACAUAACUAGUCCUCUUUUAGCAACAAUUCACUUUGCAUGUUUUCCUGAAAUAUGUAUUUUAUAGAAUUGCCUUGAUUGUGUUAUGCUCUAAAUUAUCUCAUUAUGCAGGCUGCAUAAACAUUAUAACUUUGUCCAUGAAUAUAAUUGAACUCCCAAUUGACAUCAGGCAGCAACAAAAUGUCACUAUAGCUUCAAGUCGAAACUGAAGACCUUAUUUCGAAAGGCUUUUAACAUGUAAAUUGACUCUGUUGGAUUUUAAAUAAGUGGUCAGUAUAGGCAUAAAGCAUCAUUUUUUUUUUUCAUUUUCUGUUUAUUUUAUUGAAUUGGGAUUCGUUUUUUUUUUUCGAAGUUAACAAUUUAGUGGUCUUUUAAAUGAGAUAUUUUAUCUGUAGUAUUCACCUACCGGUUUACCUUUAUGAUUUGACUUAAUUGUUGUAGCUAGGUUUUUGUGCAUUUUUAUUGAAUUUUGAAUAACCUGAAGUCUUAUUGUUUUUAUUGUAAGGCGCAUUCGAUAAAUUUUACUUGGAAAAUGUGCGGUAGAAAUGUUUUUAUACAUGGGAGAAGUAAUCUGAACAAUGCCCCAUUUUAUGUAUCAAAAUGCCCUGGUCAAUACUGCUGGCACUUUCAUUGAGCUGAAAUUCUGGUUUAAGGUCAAAUACAAUUCCAAACUGACCUUUUCGUUUUAAAUUUUUAAAGUAUUUUCAGGAAAGAAACAACAAUGGGUUUAUGAAAAAAAAAAAAAUUCUAGUCAAAGGAUACAUAUUGAUAAAAAAAAUGCAACUUUUAAAAAGAAUGUAUCAUCUAGUGUUUACAAAAAAUUAACGGAAGACGAA